rnacentral:rRNA from 1 species
UAGGGAAUCUUCCACAAUGGACGCAAGUCUGAUGGAGCAACGCCGCGUGAGUGAAGAAGGUUUUCGGACCGUAAAGCUCUGUUGUUGGUGAAGAAGGAUAGAGGUAGUAACUGGCCUUUAUUUGACGGUAAUCAACCAGAAAGUCACGGCUAACUACGUGCCAGCAGCCGCGGUAAUACGUAGGUGGCAAGCGUUGUCCGGAUUUAUUGGGCGUAAAGCGAGCGCAGGCGGAAGAAUAAGUCUGAUGUGAAAGCCCCUCGGCUUAACCGAGGAAUUGCAUCGGAAACUGUUUUUCUUGAGUGCAGAAGAGGAGAGUAGAACUCCAUGUGUAGCGGUGGAAUGCGUAGAUAUAUGGAAGAAUACCAGUGGCGAAGGCGGCUCAUCUGGUCUGCAAACUGACGCUGAGGCUCGAAAAGCAUGGGUAGCGAACAGGAUUAGAUACCCUGGUAGUCCAUGCCGUAAAACGAUGAGUGCUAAAGUGU